AAGGAUUGUUUUGAGGGGGUCU
rnacentral:miRNA from 1 species